UGACAAACUUAAUAUAACCUGUUCAGGGCAUAAUCAAUGCAAACAUACACAUAUAUUUAAACUAUUUACAACUUCAAAUACAAAUAACUUACUUUAAACCCAUUAUUAUCACUGUUUUUUUAUUUCUAACGACAAAAAAGUAACUGUGAAAGCGAUUGCAAAAUAUUCGCAGUCGAUAAUGUCGAGUGAUAGACAAUUACAACCCAGCAAGUCACGGCUACCGACACUCCAAUGCAUUGGAAGAAUAAUCGAGAUUCGAGCAUUUUUUAAUAUGUAACAUUUGGUGUUCUCUUGAGAGUGAAGAAUAAAGCUAUGGAACAAUUAUCGAGAGCUGACUAUGCUCGGUUAAGUGCAACCGAAAGGAAUGAGUACUUGAGGAAACUACUUGGAGACAGUGAUUCGAGUAGGGUUUCUGAUAGCGAUGACGAAGACUGGAUUCCAGCAAAUAGAGCUAAAAAAUAAUAAACCUUACAUCCCUAGUGUUAUGCGAGCGAAUAAAACACGAGCAGUAUUCGACAGUUUUUGGAUUUCACGAAAAGGUUACCAUGUAAAUAAUAAAGCUAUCAUUCUGAUAUCUACAAUGCAUUCAUAUAUAUCCGUUGGUGAUGACGCUAAACGAAAACCAGAAAUAAUAAAUUUCUAUAAUAAAUAUAAAGCUGGGGUUGACACAAAGGACCAAAUGGUGCGGAGAUACACCAGUCAACGACGAUCUUCGAGAUAGCCAAUGGCAAUGUUCUUCAACAUGCUAGAUAUUUCUUCAUUUGCAGAAUAUAUAAUUUAUUAUGAGAUAAUAAAAUGAUUGUCAAAAAAACGACAGAACGUCGUCAAUUUAUGCGUAAACUAAAUGAAGAACGAGCAUUGCCGAUGAUUGAACAUCGCACGGUGAAUCCACAAGUAAUGCGCCACUUCUCAACAAAUAUUGCCAUUGAAAAUGUAUUAGGCCAUAUACUGACAGAAACAGUCGUGAUAAAUCCUGGUCCAGAGACUCCAAAAGAUAACACCAGAAAUAAAAAAGUAACAAGAUCUUGUCAUGUCUGCAAUGCUUUGCUAAUAAGAAGACGGCGAAAGACACGUAAGGCAUGUGCCAAUUGUCACCAACCUGUGUGUGACGAGCACUCAGUUAAUUGUGUACAAUGUGUUCAAUGUCAAUAUCUAUAAAAAAGGGUAAUAUUUCUUUAUUUUUUUAAUAAAAUUUAGUUGCAUUCAUUAAUAGAAAUUAUAUACAAUUUUUUUCCUAUGCUUUCCACUGUGGUACCCGGGUACCCGAUUGCUAAUAGAGAUGGCUAGAGUUUAAGCUUAUUUAAAAAAAAAAUUAAAAAAUAAAACAAUUAAAUGAACUCACAAAUAGCUUUCUUUUAAGUUAAAAAACGACGAUUUAAGAGCUUAAAAUGAAAUAUUGAAUUUUUUUUAAGCCAUUCACACAAAUACACCGCGGUUACUAACAUAAGGGUUAGGCGUAUAGAGUAAGCGCACCUCCAGCUCAGCUAUACAAUAUUCGAGUGCAAAUGUGAAUGUAUAUAUAUGUGAAACUUUAAACGCGUUUUUCUCAAAACUACAAUUUUCCAAUUGGUGGGAGAAAUAACUUUGAAAAUUUUUAUUUUUUAGAAUUAGGUUUUACAUAGAAGUACGUAGAUAAAUUUCGAUUGAUACAAAACUUUGUUUUUUCAGUUUAUUACGAUUUUAUAGACUACAAAAUAAUUUUUCUGUUCAAAUGACUAUAAUUUUUGAAGGAAUCGAUAUUUUCAAAUUUCCCUACGUAUUUAUAUGGGUAUUCUCAUGUAGAAUAUUUCUCACGUAGAUUGUAGAUGCUAAAUGUCAAAAAACAAAAGAUCAAAGACACAUCGCACGCUUUGUUUAUUAUAGUCAACAAAAAUAACCGAAAAAAAUAACUUUUCAUGAGCUUGAGGUUCAAACUUGACAAGUUUUUCAUUAGAUCUGCGAAAAAAUGAUAAUAUCACGAAAAAAAUGAAUGAAUCUGCACUUGAAUGUAUACCCCCUACAGUGGCUAUACCUCUUAACAGAAAACUCUGGUAACCAGUGAUUUAACCGAUAGGUGGCUUGCAGGAAAUGGUACCGAUAAUUGUUCAGUAGGCGCUUUGGUGUGACUGAAAAUUUAUUUAUUCCUUUAAUUAAAAAAUUUUGCGAGUGAAGUUUUAACCGUUUUAUAUGUACACUUAUUCCAGUAGUUACUUCAUUUCAGCUGCAUCAUCUUACAAAAUGCCAUCGAUUUACAGAUUGAAUUGUACCAUACUUUUAAUGGGUGUUUUUUUUUCGAGGUAUAGAACUUUAAGUCUGUGCAGAAUACAUAUCGCGCACUACGUUCAUUUUAUCGUAAGAUGCGAUGAAGCGCACUUCUGGUUGAAUGGCUACGUCAACAAACAAAACUGCCGCAUUUGCUGAAGCUAAUCCUCAAGUGUAUGUCGAAACACUGUUACAUCCAGAAAAACUGACUGUUUGGGGCUGGUGGUGCGCUUUAUGAGCUGGUGGAAUCAUUGGUCCGUACUUCUUCAAAAACGAUGAUGAUCAGAACGUUAUAGUCAAUGGUGAUCGGUAUAGAGCCAUCAUUACUAACUUUUUCAUUCCUGAAUCGAACAACCAUGAUGUCCAGGAGCUGUGGUUCCAACAAGACGGCGCAACAUGUCACACAGCCACAAUCGAUUUAUUGAAAGACACGUUUGGUGACCGACUAAUUUCACGUUUUGAACCUGUGAAUUGGCCUCCAAGAUCUUGUGAUUUAACACCGCUAGACUACUUUCUGUGGAAUUAUGUAAAGUCGUUGGUCUAUGCGCAUAAGCCACAAACGCUUAACCAUUUGGAAGACAACAUUCGACAAAAAACACCCAUUAUUAUUCAAUUAAGACUAAAUAGGUGAAAUUAUGUACAAAAUGUAUAAUUUCUGAUACCAAGUUUCAGUGCUUUUAUGAAAAAUAUGACUGCAUCAUUGGAACUAACGGUGCUCUAAUAGAACCUAGUUCACCUAAAGGUCAUUGAUCCCUCACAAAAGCCUUAAAUGAAAAAAAUUAUGCUAUAAUUAACUUAGCCAAUAAUUCAGGUAAAAAUACAAAAUUUAAAGUGGGUAAGAAUGUGUAAUUUAAUUUUUUUAAUAAUAACAUUAAAUUUGAUGACGGUAUAUGUAUAUUCAGCGCCUUAUUUGAUAGACAAAUGGCUGUGGCACCACCCACUUUAAGUAAAAAAAACUCUUAUCUCACAAAAUACUUGAUCGAGUAGAACAAAAUUUAGCACUUAACAUUAGACAUACAACAUUUUGAAAAUGGUUGAAAUAGGGUAUUUGGAAUGUUAUUUGCAUUUACAGUAGACACUUCAAGAAUCAAUAUAGAUAAUCGUUCCAUGCCUUUUUUAAUUCCCGUAUACUGAAUUUGUGAAUAUCUGCACUUCCAGUUACCAAAUUCCUGAACUUAGUCCUUCAUUAGUUAUUUUUAUUUUUUUCUCUGAACUGUUUCUUUCCUCCUUUUUUAUUUUUAAAUAUGUUUCUUUAUUUCUUAAUAAUUAAAGUCUAUAUGAAUGCUUUAUAAUAAAUAUACUGACUUAAAGGUUAAACGCUUUCACUCUAUAAAUGACAGCAAGGGUUUAUACUGAAGUAAUUUAGGCCAGAAAUUUCUAUGAACAUGAAAGCUUAAAACUUUAAAAAUAGUUAAAUGAUUCUAAAGCCAUAAGCGUUCGAAUAAAUGUAAGCGUGUUAUUAAGAAUUUUAUAAUCAAUGUGGUAGAUCAAAAAAUUGAAAUAUAGGACUGCUAAAAUUCAAAUACAACAAGUAAGGAAGCGCUAAGUUCAGAUGUAA